GACGUAGGGCGCAAGCGUUGUCCGGAAUUAUUGGGCGUAAAGAGCUCGUAGGCGGCUUGUCGCGUCUGUUGUGAAAGCCCGGGGCUUAACCCCGGGUCUGCAGUGGAUACGGGCGGACUGGAGGCCAGUAGGGGGAUGCGGAAUUCCGGGUGUAGUGGUGGAAUGCGUAGAGAUCCGGAGGAACACCAGCGGCGAAGGCGGCAUCCUGGACUGGUCCUGACACUCAUGAGCGAAAGCGUGGGGAGCGAUCCGG
rnacentral:rRNA from 1 species